rnacentral:rRNA from 1 species
AAUAGAUACCCCGGUAGUCCAUGCCGUAAACGUUGGGAACUAGAUGUAGGGCCUGUUCCACGGGUUCUGUGUCGUAGCUAACGCAUUAAGUUCCCCGCCUGGGGAGUACGGCCGCAAGGCUAAAACUCAAAGGAAUUGACGGGGGGCCCGCACAAGCGGCGGAGCAUGCGGAUUAAUUCGAUGCAACGCGAAGAACCUUACCAAGGCUUGACAUAUAGAAGAACACUGCAGAGAUGCAGGACUCUUUGGACACUUCUAUACAGGUGGUGCAUGGUUGUCGUCAGCUCGUGUCGUGAGAUGUUCGGUUAAGUCCGGCAACGAGCGCAACCCUCGUCCUAUGUUGCCAGCGGGUGAUGCCGGGAACUCAUGGGAUACUGCCGUGGUCAACACGGAGGAAGGUGGGGAUGACGUCAAAUCAUCAUGCCCCUUAUGUCUUGGGCUUCACGCAUGCUACAAUGGCCAGUACAAAGGGCGGCGAUACCGUAAGGUGGAGCGAAUCCCAAAAAGCCGGUCUCAGUUCGGAUUGGGGU